CCCAGGCCUGAGGGAUUUCCCCUACCCAAGUGGUCAUGGCUGAAAUUCCCACCAUACUGGUCCCUGGUAGUAGAGUCAACUCUACCUUUCCGUCCUCCACCUCCACAUCUGACAAACAGGAUCCCAUCCAAGACCCCACAUUACAUUUAGUCAUCAUUUCUCCUUGGGCUCCUCUUGGAGGUGACAGCUUCUCAGAUUUUUCUUGCUGGUGACCUUCGCAGUUUUGAGGAAUACUGAUCAGAUAACCAGACCGUUGGUAUUCAGAAUACAGAGCCACAGUGACACAUCGCACAAACCAGUGAUUGAAGGCUGGGGCCACAUGAGGUGUUUUCUGGAAAUUGCUGUCUCACUGUCUCAGGAUGAAUAUACAAGAGAAGUACUGAUGAGGGUGAGAGUGAAGAACAGCACAUCAC